AACGAACGCUGGCGGCAUGCCUAACACAUGCAAGUCGAACGAGAUCUUCGGGUCUAGUGGCGCACGGGUGCGUAACGCGUGGGAAUCUGCCCGUUGGUUCGGAAUAACAGUUGGAAACGACUGCUAAUACCGGAUGAUGACGAAAGUCCAAAGAUUUAUCGCCAGAGGAUGAGCCCGCGUAGGAUUAGCUAGUUGGUGUGGUAAAGGCGCACCAAGGCGACGAUCCUUAGCUAGUCUGAGAGGAUGAUCAGCCACACUGGGACUGAGACACGGCCCAGACUCCCACGGGAGGCAGCAGUGGGGAAUAUUGGACAAUGGGCGAAAGCCUGAUCCAGCAAUGCCGCGUGAGUGAUGAAGGCCUUAGGGUUGUAAAGCUCUUUUACCCGGGAUGAUAAUGACAGUACCGGGAGAAUAAGCUCCGGCUAACUCCGUGCCAGCCGCCGCAGUAA
rnacentral:rRNA from 1 species